UGAGGAAUAUUGGUCAAUGGGUGCAAGCCUGAACCAGCCAUCCCGCGUGAAGGACGACUGCCCUAUGGGUUGUAAACUUCUUUUGUAUAGGGAUAAACCUACCCUCGUGAGGGUAGCUGAAGGUACUAUACGAAUAAGCACCGGCUAACUCCGUGCCAGCAGCCGCGGUAAUACGGAGGGUGCAAGCGCUAUCCGGAUUUAUUGGGUUUAAAGGGUCCGUAGGCGGACUUAUAAGUCAGUGGUGAAAGCCUGUCGCUUAACGAUAGAACUGCCAUUGAUACUGUAAGUCUUGAGUAUAUUUGAGGUAGCUGGAAUAAGUAGUGUAGCGGUGAAAUGCAUAGAUAUUACUUAGAACACCAAUUGCGAAGGCAGGUUACCAAGAUAUAACUGACGCUGAGGGACGAAAGCGUGGGGAGCGAACAGGAUUAGAUACCCUGGUAGUCCACGCCGUAAACGAUGCUAACUCGUUUUUGGGGCUUCGGCUUCAGAGACCAAGCGAAAGUGAUAAGUUAGCCACCUGGGGAGUACGCUCGCAAGAGUGAAACUCAAAUGAAUUGACGGGGUCAUAGCUGUUUCCU
rnacentral:rRNA from 1 species